UGAAUAUUAUUAUAGAUAAAGAUAAAUUGUAAACAGCAAAAAUGAUCAGCAAAGUAAGAUCUACAAAUAAGUCAAUUUGACCAAAAUUGUCAAUUGACCCCUUAAGGAGUUAUUGCCCUUUAAAGUCUUUUUUUCACAAUUUGUUCAUCAUGUUGACUUACUUUUAAAAAUCUUCUCCUUUGAAACUGCUGUAUCAAUUUCAGCC
rnacentral:lncRNA from 1 species